GAGCUGGAGAGCUGGAGAGGGAAGUUGGACAGUGGGGUCAGCAACAGCACAAGAGCCAAGGGCUGGCCAUCCUGGGGGCUGGCAAGCAGGGUGCCCAGGAGAGAACACAAGAGGCUGGGGCAGGAGUCCAAGGAUUGAGGGAUGGUGGCCGGGCCCGGUCCAGGAAGCCGGCUAGCUGGCCUCUCUCAGGCAGGUGUAUGCAGGCUGAGGGUACAAAAUGCCAUCAGCUGGGGCCACUGGGCCCCGCACAAACCCCCAGGCUGGGCCCUGCAUGGUCCAGGUACCCAGAUGACUUCCAGAGGAGAUGAGGUCUCCCAGCCAGGCCCGACACACAAGUCUUCUACCUCAGUCACUGGAGGUCCUCCUGACGGGGAGCCAGGCUAGAGGCCUAAAUUUCCUCCAGGACCGGUGGCAUGGAAAUCCUUGAAUGGGUAGCCAAAGGCAGACCGCUGGUUGGCAGAGGACUAAAGUACUAGCGACCCUUAGGCCAUCAGCAGCAGGCAUCCGGGCUCAGGGAUUCCACGCCUUUCAGAGACACAAAGCUAGUGUUUGACCCCAGUGGCUACAUAGUGUCCCUGUCCUUGAAAUAGAGCACCUGUCAG
rnacentral:lncRNA from 1 species